GACAGUUUGGUCCCUAUCUGCCGUGGGCGUUGGAAGUUUGAGGGGGGCUGCUCCUAGUACGAGAGGACCGGAGUGGACGGAUCUCUGGUGGACCGGUUGUCACGCCAGUGGCAUAGCCGGGUAGCUAUAUCCGGGAGAGAUAAACGCUGAAAGCAUCUAAGCGUGAAACUUGCCUCGAGAUGAGACUUCCCUGUGCCUUGAGCACACUGAAGGGUCGCGGAAGACCACCGCGUUGAUAGGUCGGAUGUGGAAGCGCAGUAAUGCGUUAAGCUGACCGAUACUAAUUGCCCGUGCGGCUUGACCCU
rfam:Methylophilales bacterium RIFCSPHIGHO2_02_FTLL_57_10 rifcsphigho2_02_scaffold_32928, whole genome shotgun sequence.